UGAGGAAUAUUGGUCAAUGGUCGCAAGACUGAACCAGCCAUGCCGCGUGCAGGAUGACGGUCCUAUGGAUUGUAAACUGCUUUUGUACGGGAAGAAACCCUCCUACGUGUAGGAGCUUGACGGUACCGUAAGAAUAAGGAUCGGCU
rnacentral:rRNA from 1 species